CAUUUCUUCAUUUAUUUUCUUCUUCUCUCUUCUCUCUUCUCGUUUAUUAUUUCUUCUUUUGCUCCUCCCCUGUCUUUCAUCUGGCGAUUUUGGAGAUCAAGUAAGAGGAGGAAAAUCAAGGGUGGGUUACUGGUGUUGAAGAUUGAGUAAGUGUUUUCGAUUCUGAAUUAGAGAAGAGAAUAUUUGGGGUGUUGUAUUUCUGUAAAUAAGUUGGGGUUUUCUGGAUUUGAAAUUAGGUUUGUAUAGAGAUGCUGAUGAUGAGAUCGAGUUGAUAAUGGAUGAAAUAGAAGUGGGUUGUUGUCUAAUUGCUGUUUUAAGAUGUUUCAAAGGAGAAUCGACGAAUUAAGGUUUUGUUUUAAUUAGGGUUUCGCUGAGUUCAAUUCUGAGAUGAAUUCAAAGAUGGUGAUGAAUAUCGAUAGGUUGCUGAAGUGAAUCAAUUGCUUGAGCUGAACUUUUUUUGAGGUGUUAGUACUGAACUGAAGAUAAUUGAAUUGGCGAUUUAGGGAUUGAUAUUGAGGCAGGUGGUAUGUGAUAUAGUUGAGUGUUACUCAGCUAAUAGUGGUGAUAAGUAUUAUGUGUUGCAGUGGGAAAUGUUGUUGCUAGUGAGGACAUGAAUGAAACUGAGAUAUGCUUUAGAGGAAUGCUUUGAAGUUGCAAUGGAUAUCAGUGGCUGUUAGAGACGUACUGUUGGUAGUUGGUGUUGUUUGUGUUGGCUAUAAAGGGUGCAUAACAGGUAGUGGUGCUGUAAUGAAGCCACAGGGUUAGUGAUGUUGUUUGGGAUGUUGUAUGGAAUGGGUUAAAUUGAUAAUGAUGCUGCUGUUGGAGAGUUAUGUCGAGUGUUGGAGGUGUGACUGAAAUGAUAGUUGUGGGACUAUAGUUAGUGUUUGUUGUGAAAGCCUAAAACUGCAACUGCAGGUAAUCUUAGCUUGUAAAUUGAUUAUGAAGUUCACUUGGAUUGAUUAUAUCUCAGUGAUGAAGUUAAUGUGAAUAAACAUUGUAGAAUUGUAUGAUAAAGAACAAGGAUAUGUUGUAGGA